ACGAACGCUGGCGGCAUGCCUAACACAUGCAAGUCGAACGAGACCUUCGGGUCUAGUGGCGCACGGGCGCGUAACGCGUGGGAACCUGCCUUUAGGUUCGGAAUAACUCAGAGAAAUUUGAGCUAAUACCGGAUGAUGUCUUCGGACCAAAGAUUUAUCGCCUUUAGAUGGGCCCGCGUUGGAUUAGCUAGUUGGUGGGGUAAAGGCCUACCAAGGCGACGAUCCAUAGCUGGUCUGAGAGGAUGAUCAGCCACACUGGGACUGAGACACGGCCCAGACUCCUACGGGAGGCAGCAGUGGGGAAUAUUGGACAAUGGGCGAAAGCCUGAUCCAGCAAUGCCGCGUGAGUGAUGAAGGCCUUAGGGUUGUAAAGCUCUUUUACCCGAGAUGAUAAUGACAGUAUCGGGAGAAUAAGCUCCGGCUAACUCCGUG
rnacentral:rRNA from 1 species